rnacentral:rRNA from 1 species
GACGAACGCUGGCGGCGUGCUUAACACAUGCAAGUCGAACGUGAUUUUUGUGGAAAUUCUUUCGGGAAUGGAAAUGAAAUGAAAGUGGCGAACGGGUGAGUAACACGUGAGCAACCUACCUUACACAGGGGGAUAGCCGUUGGAAACGACGAUUAAUACCGCAUGAGACCACAGAAUCGCAUGAUAUAGGGGUCAAAGAUUUAUCGGUGUAAGAAGGGCUCGCGUCUGAUUAGCUAGUUGGAAGGGUAAAGGCCUACCAAGGCGACGAUCAGUAGCCGGUCUGGGAGACUGAACGGCCACAUUGGAACUGAGACACAGUCCAAACUCCUACGGGAGGCAGGAGUGGGGAAUAUUGCACAAUGGGGGGAACCCUGAUGCAGCGACGCCGCGUGAGCGAAGAAGGUUUUCGAAUCGUAAAGCUCUGUCCUAUGAGAAGAUAAUGACGGUAUCAUAGGAGGAAGCCCCGGCUAAAUACGUG